rnacentral:rRNA from 1 species
UGCAGUCGAACGAAGUAGCAAUACUUAGUGGCAGACGGGUGAGUAACAUGUAGGUAUCUGCCCUUUGGCCUGGAAUAACACGAGGAAACUUGUGCUAAUACCGGAUAAGUCUUUACGGAGAAAGCUUUAUGCACCAUUGGAUGAGCCUGCACUUGAUUAGUUUGUUGGUGGGGUAAUGGCCUACCAAGACUGUGAUCAAUAGCUGAUUUGAGAGGAUGAUCAGCCACAUUGGGACUGAGACACGGCCCAAACUCCUACGGGAGGCAGCAGUGGGGAAUCUUGCACAAUGGAGGAAACUCUGAUGCAGCGAUGCCGCGUGAGUGAAGAAGGCCCUUGGGUUGUAAAGCUCUUUCGUCGGGGAAGAAAAUGACUGUACCCGAAUAAGAAGGUCCGGCUAACUUCGUGCCAGCAGCCGCGGUAAUACGAAGGGACCUAGCGUAGCUCGGAAUUACUGGGCUUAAAGAGUUCGUAGGUGGUUGAAAAAGUUAGUGGUGAAAUCCCAGAGCUUAACUCUGGAACUGCCAUUAAAACUUUUCAGCUAGAGUAUGAUAGGGGAAAGCAGAAUUUCUAGUGUAGAGGUGAAAUUCGUAGAUAUUAGAAAGAAUACCAAUUGCGAA